AUGCGAGUUCGAUUCGUUCUUUGCAAGAAAGAUGCUUAUACUAAAAAGGAAUCUAUAACUUUGAUUCAAGCAGUUUAUGUACCUGCAGACGAUUUGACCGACCUUGCUACUGCCACAACAUUUGCACAUUUUGAUGCUACUACCGUACUUUCCAGAGGAUUAGCUUCCAAGGGUAUUUAUCCAGCAGUAGAUCCUUUAGAUUCAACCUGAACUAUGUUGCAGCCUCGGAUCGUUGGCAACAGACAUUAUUAAACUGCGCAAAGAGUUAAAAAAAACUUUACAACUUUACAAGAACUUCAGGACAUUAUCGCAAUUCUUGGCUUGGAUGAAUUACCAGAAGAGGAUCGUUUAACUCUAGCAAGAGCAAGAAAAGUUGGGUGUUUCUUAUCACAACCGUUCUUUGUGGCAGAAGUUUUUAUUGGUUUUCCAGGAAAGUGGUGCCGAACAGGAGCUCCCUGA
rnacentral:rRNA from 1 species